CCUACGGGUGGCAGCAGUCGAGAAUCAUUCACAAUGGGGGAAACCCUGAUGGUGCGACGCCGCGUGGGGGAAUGAAGGUCUUCGGAUUGUAAACCCCUGUCAUGUGGGAGCAAAUUAAAAAGAUAGUACCACACGAGGAAGAGACGGCUAACUCUGUGCCAGCAGCCGCGGUAAUACAGAGGUCUCAAGCGUUGUUCGGAAUAACUGGGCGUAAAGCGUGCGUAGGCUGUUUCGUAAGUCGUGUGUGAAAGGCGCGGGCUCAACCCGCGGACGGCACAUGAUACUGCGAGACUAGAGUAAUGGAGGGGGAAACGGAAUUCGCGGUGUAGCAGUGAAAUGCGUAGAUAUCGAGAGGAACACUCGUGGCGAAGGCGGGUUCCUGGACAUUAACUGACGCUGAGGCACGAAGGCCAGGGGAGCGAAAGGGAUUAGAUACCCUUGUAGUC
rnacentral:rRNA from 1 species